AGAAAAAAGACAUGGUUUCAGCAACAAAAUGCUUUGUUUCAGAGGGUUUCUUUGAAUUCAACUAAUGAUUUCAUUCGUUUAAAUAAGAUCUCUUCUUGGUAAAUGAGCCUUAUUGCAAUCAAUCAACACGGGUUUUUUGGUUCACAUAAGGGAUUUAUUUGGGCUACUUUAUUUCAACAUAAGAAAUAUUUGGUAUGCUCAAACAUAUGUUUUUUUAAUUCAAAAAAGUAAUUUGUUUCUUUUGAUUUCGGUUGAAUAUAAUUGAUUUAAAUACACAACUUAUUCGAUUGAAAUAUAAUCAGUUAUGUUCGAACAAAUGGAAUACUUGUGUCAGAAAAAAGACCGACUCAAUUUCUGAAUAAAAUAAUUGUUUGACAAUAAUUUAUGGUACUUUGUAGAGUAUCUUCGAUAAGCUUGAAACAAAGAAACAUUUAUGUUCUUCAGUUCCGCUGUAGCAUAAGUUUGUUUAUAAAUUAAUAAAUUCAUCAAAACCUUUGGGGCUUUGAAGCUCGAAAUCUCGCUAUCAUUCUGCUAUUCCUGAAAUAAAAAUGGAAGCAAGCCCUGAGCAGGAGCUUCUGAGCGCUCGUUUUUUUUUGGAGCAAAAGGACUAUCAUCUCAAAAUCGUAUAUUUUGUUAUGGAAAUAUAAAAAUUCUACUUUCCAAUAUUUCAAUUGAAUUUUCUGUUUCUGUUAACACUAUGGGACUAUGGUCACAAAAUUUUGCAAGAGGGUUAUUAUGAGCAUCUUGCAAGUUGCCGUAAAAUUUCAUUUCGUUUGGUUUCGUUUUGUGUGAAAUAUUGAGGAACAAAAAUUUUGAAUGGCCAUAUUAUAUGGAACACCAUGUACGACUUUGCUGGUUAACGAACUUAACCGCUGCAUUUGGGAGCCGAACACACCCUGAAAAUCUCAAGUCUCUAGGACAAUCCCUUCGAGAGUUAUGGUGAAAACGGCCGGCUGCCCUAUACGGACAGAAUUUAAUUUGACCUCAUAUUCUUCACCAAUUAGACGAACAAUAUCGUUUGAGACCAUUUUCGGCUCAAAAUUCGAAAAUUAUAGACAUUUGGGCAAAACGAUAUAGCACUCGUUUAAGUAGAACAAGCGCUCAAAAAUUGAAACCCUGAUGGUACUGCCCAUAGAUAAGAUAUACUGCCUUACUGCCUAAAAGUUUCAGCAACCCUGGGAGUUUUAGGGCUUUGGCAACGUACCGCGUAUACACAUGUGUUAACGCGUCUACGAUUGGCUCCAAUCGUGAAAUAGGUUCUGUACUUUCGUCCUUUUUCCAUCCAAGGGAAGGAAGGAUGAACUGUAUUACUGGGUAACUGAAAGAAGUUCAUUCUCAUAGUGAAACAGUGCGGUCGCUGAUGUGUUUGCUAUGUGCUUUGGUUUUUGUUAAGUGAUAAGUGUUAUAAAAUUGAGGUAAAAAUAUUUUUACGAUAUACGUAUGUUUGUGAUGCAUCGAAGAGAGAGUUUUUCCUUCAGUUCUAUAUUUUAUUUCAGUGUUUCGUUAGCGGUAAGAUAUACCUACAUUCUCCUUAGAUAUUUUAGUAUUAAUAAUAUGGAAGAAUCAAAUACACUGGAGGGUUUCUUAUUAAAAAAUGGUCUAGGAAAUUACCUUCGUAAUUUCGAAGAUAACCAUAUAAGAAUCCAAGAUUUAAUAAAACUGUCCGAAGCUGAUAUCGAUAAACUCAUUCCGAUUAUUGGACACCAAAUAAUAUUUCGGAAUUCUCUGCAAUCUUUGGAAGAAGAUAACCUGGAGACCAAUGAAAUCAUAGUCAAUAAGGAAUGUAAUAUUAC